rnacentral:rRNA from 1 species
AACGAACGCUGGCGGUAUGCUUAACACAUGCAAGUCGAACGAACAAAAUUGGGGCUUGCUCCAAUUUUAGCGAGUGGCAAACGGGUGAGUAACACGUGGGAAUCUACCUAUCAGUACGGAAUAACAUUUGGAAACAGAUGCUAAUACCGUAUAUUCUCCAAGGAGGAAAGAUUUAUCGCUGAUAGAUGAGCCCGCGUAAGAUUAGGUAGUUGGUAGGGUAAUGGCCUACCAAGCCGACGAUCUUUAGCUGGUCUGAGAGGAUGAUCAGCCACACUGGGACUGAGACACGGCCCAGACUCCUACGGGAGGCAGCAGUGGGGAAUAUUGGACAAUGGGCGAAAGCCUGAUCCAGCAAUACCGCGUGAAUGAUGAAGGCCUUAGGGUUGUAAAGUUCUUUUAGUUGGAAAGAUAAUGACGGUACCAACAGAAAAAGCCCCGGCUAACUCCGUGCCAGCCGCCGCCGUAA